rnacentral:rRNA from 1 species
UACGUAGGGGGCAAGCGUUGUCCGGAUUUAUUGGGCGUAAAGAGCGUGUAGGCGGCUUGGUAGGUCCGCUGUGAAAACUCGAGGCUCAACCUCGAGAUGUCGGCGGAAACCACUUGGCUAGAGUCCGGAAGAGGAGAGUGGAAUUCCUGGUGUAGCGGUGAAAUGCGCAGAUAUCAGGAAGAACACCUAUGGCGAAGGCAGCUCUCUGGGACGGUACUGACGCUGAGGCGCGAAAGCGUGGGGAGCGAACAGG